AAAACUUUCAACAACGGAUCUCUUGGUUCUGGCAUCGAUGAAGAACGCAGCGAAAUGCGAUAAGUAAUGUGAAUUGCAAAAUUCAGUGAAUCAUCGAAUCUUUGAACGCACAUUGCGCCCCUUGGUAUUCCGGGGGGCAUGCCUGUUCGAGCGUCAU
rnacentral:rRNA from 1 species